AUGCAGAAACAAAGACUCCAGGUAGCCAUGACCCUACUGGAGUUUGGGGGGGACCUCCAGCCCCCUGGGGGGUCCCUGACUCUGCUCUGCCACACCUCCGGGUUCAAUUUUGGGAGUCACGCCAUGCACUGGAUCCGCCAGAGCCCCGGGAAGGAGCUGGAAUACGUUGCCAGUAUCAACAGCAAUGGUGGCUCCACAGACUACGCAUCGUCAGUCAAGGACCGGUUCUCGAUCUCCAGGGACAACGGGCAGAGCUCAGUGACGCUGACCAUGAACAACCUCAAGGACGAGGAUUCCGGCAUUUAUUUCUGCGCUAAGCGUUACAACAGUGGACCAGAGAGUGCUAACAUUUAG